CCGCUGCCCCGGCCCUGACAGCCCCGCCUUCGCCCACCGGGAUCCGCUCGUGCCCAAGGACUGGACAAGGGAGGCGCUCCCGGCCUCGGACGAAGAGAAAGGUUUUGCAGAGAGCACAUUGUUGAACCAGCAGUUGGCAGAUGACGACGACACAGAUGAGGAGCUUAGGCGAGAGGUACGCCUACCAGAGCACCGUUAAACGAAUUUCUGUUACUUUUUCAGUCACAUGCGUGAGGAAUGGAUGUGUUGUGCGGUUAUUGUUACUGUCAGGUUGUAGCUCUAGGUCUAUUGUGAUGUGGCUGACCUCUCUGCCGCUGGUUGGACGUCCGUAUGGUACUGUUUCAAGUUUUGCAGAGAGCACAGGCUCGAAUGAACAGUGUGUGUGGAACAAAUUCUUGUCUGAAUUCUCUUCUUGUGGGAGUAUGAACUUGCUUGCAGUAUCCUGCUUGCAGUAUCUUGGAGUAUCAACUUGGAGCAUCUGGUUAGAGUAGCAUCUUGCAACACAUUCGAUUACUCCAGUACUGAUAGUUACAGUGGCAUCUUGCAAAAUGGAGU